CUUCGGGGCGGGUUCACAGGUGGUGCAUGGUCGUCGUCAGCUCGUGUCGUGAGAUGUUGGGUUAAGUCCCGCAACGAGCGCAACCCUCGCCCCGUGUUGCCAGCGGAUUAUGCCGGGAACUCACGGGGGACCGCCGGGGUUAACUCGGAGGAAGGUGGGGAUGACGUCAGAUCAUCAUGCCCCUUACGUCCAGGGCUUCACGCAUGCUACAAUGGCCGGUACAACGGGAUGCGACGCGGCGACGCGGAGCGGAUCCCUGAAAACCGGUCUCAGUUCGGAUCGCAGUCUGCAACUCGACUGCGUGAAGGCGGAGUCGCUAGUAAUCGCGAAUCAGCAACGUCGCGGUGAAUGCGUUCCCGGGCCUUGUACACACCGCCCGUCAAGUCAUGAAAGUGGGCAGCACCCGAAGCCGGUGGCCUAACCCCUUGUGGGAUGGAGCCGUCUAAGGUGAGGCUCGUGAUUGGGACUAAGUCGUAACAAGGUAGCCGUACCGGAAGGUGCGGCUGGAUCACCUCCUUUCUACGGAG
rnacentral:rRNA from 1 species